rnacentral:rRNA from 1 species
UUUUUUAAAACUUCUAAUCUUUUUAAGAUAUAUUUUAUCAUUUUUAAGAAUUAAAAAAAGAGUAAAAUCUUCUUUAUUUCUAUUUUUUAAGUUAUAUAUCAAAAAAUUUUUUAAGAAAAAUAAUUAAGGAUACUACUUAUAAAACCCAAAUUACUUGGCAGCUUGAUCAAUAAUUAGGGGAAUCUGUUCUUUAAUUGACUCUACACAAUUUAACUUACCUAAUUUUAAGAUUUAUAUAUCACCGAUAAAAAAAAAUUUUUUUUUCCUCCUCUUCUAAGAAUAUAUCAGGUCAAGAUAUAAUCCAUAAAUAGGGAUGAAAUGGAUUACAUUUUUUUUCUGAAAACGAAAUUUUCUAUGAAAACAAAAAUAGAAGGUGGACUUAAAAGUAAAAAUUUAUCAUUAAAAAAUUUUGAUCUUAUAUUAUCAA